GCUUUCGUGGUGUAGUGGUCAGCACGCUCGACGCGUAUUCGAGAGGUCCGUGGUUCGAAUCCCUGCGAGGGCA
rnacentral:tRNA from 1 species